rnacentral:rRNA from 1 species
CCUACGGGAGGCAGCAGUAAGGAAUAUUGGUCAAUGGACGAAAGUCUGAACCAGCCAUGCCGCGUGAAGGAUGAAGGCCCUCUGGGUUGUAAACUUCUUUUAUAGGGGACGAAAAAAGGGCAUUCUUGCUCACUUGACGGUACCCUAGGAAUAAGCACCGGCUAACUCCGUGCCAGCAGCCGCGGUAAUACGGAGGGUGCAAGCGUUAUCCGGAUUUACUGGGUUUAAAGGGUGCGUAGGUGGGUUGGUAAGUCAGCGGUGAAAUCUUCGAGCUUAACUCGGAAACUGCCAUUGAUACUAUCAAUCUUGAAUCAUCUAGAGGUAAGCGGAAUAUGUCAUGUAGCGGUGAAAUGCUUAGAUAUGACAUAGAACACCAAUUGCGAAGGCAGCUUACUAUGGG